rnacentral:rRNA from 1 species
GACGAACGCUGGCGGCGUGCUUAACACAUGCAAGUCGAACGGUGAAGCGCCUUCCUUUUUGGUGGGUGUGGAUGAGUGGCGAACGGGUGAGUAACACGUGAGUAACCUGCCCCCUUCUUCUGGAUAACCGCAUGAAAGUGUGGCUAAUACGGGAUAUUCUGGGUCUGUCGCAUGAUGGGUCUGGGAAAGAUAUUGUUUCGGUGGGGGAUGGGCUCGCGGCCUAUCAGCUUGUUGGUGGGGUGAUGGCCUACCAAGGCGGUGACGGGUAGCCGGCCUGAGAGGGUGGACGGUCACACUGGGACUGAGACACGGCCCAGACUCCUACGGGAGGCAGCAGUGGGGAAUAUUGCACAAUGGGCGCAAGCCUGAUGCAGCGACGCCGCGCGAGGGAUGGAGGCCUUCGGGUUGUGAACCUCUUUCGCCAGUGAAGCAGGCCUGCCUCGUUUGUGGGUGGGUUGACGGUAGCUGGAUAAGAAGCGCCGGCUAACUACGUG